CCUGCGGGAGGCAGCAGUGAGGAAUAUUGGUCAAUGGACGAGAGUCUGAACCAGCCAAGUAGCGUGAGGGAUGACUGCCCUAUGGGUUGUAAACUUCUUUUAUAUGGGAAUAAAUUGUUCCACGUGUGGGAUUUUGUAUGUACCAUAUGAAUAAGGAUCGGCUAACUCCGUGCCAGCAGCCGCGGUAAUACGGAGGAGCCGAGCGUUAUCCGGAUUUAUUGGGUUUAAAGGGAGCGUAGGUGGGUUGUUAAGUCAGUUGUGAAAGUUUGCGGCUAAACCGUAAAAUUGCAGUUGAAACUGGCAGUCUUGAGUGCAGUAGGGGUGGGCGGAAUUCGUGGUGUGGCGGUGAAAUGCUUAGAUAUCACGAAGAAAUCCGAUUGCGAAGGCAGUUCACUGGACUGCAACUGACACUGAGGCUCGAAAGUGUGGGUAUCAAACAGGAUUAGAUACCCCUGUAGU
rnacentral:rRNA from 1 species